GACGAACGCUGGUGGCAUGCCUAACACAUGCAAGUCUAGGGGUAGCAAUACCACUGGCGCACGGGUGAGUAACACGUAGGUUAUCUGCCCCCAUCACAGACAUAACCCCGGGAAACCGGGGCUAAUAUCUGAUGAGGUCGCGAGAUCAAAGCUUCGGCGGAUGGGGAUGAGCCUGCGGCUGAUUAGCUAGUUGGUGAGGUAAUGGCUCACCAAGGCGACGAUCAGUAGCUGGUCUGAGAGGACGAACAGCCACACUGGAACUGAGACACGGUCCAGACUCCUACGGGAGGCAGCAGUGAGGAAUAUUGGUCAAUGGGAGCAAUCCUGAACCAGCAAUGCCGCGUGUGGGAUGACAGGGCUUCGCCUUGUAAACCACUGUCGGACGGGACGAAAGGAGGCCUCGGGCCUCUGGGACGGUACCGUCAAAGGAAGGGUCGGCUAACUACGUGCCAGCAGCCGCGGUAAU
rnacentral:rRNA from 1 species